rnacentral:rRNA from 1 species
AAGUAAAUAGUGAAAUCCUGGGGCUCAACCUCACGGGCUAUUAUUCAAACUUGCAAACUCGAGAAUGGUAGAGGUAACUGGAAUUUCUUGUGUAGGAGUGAAAUCCGUAGAUAUAAGAAGGAACACCAAUGGCGUAGGCAGGUUACUGGACCAUUUCUGACACUGAGGCACGAAAGCGUGGGGAGCGAACGGGGAUUAGAUACCCCGGUAGUCCACGCCGUAAACGAUGGAUACUA